rnacentral:rRNA from 1 species
CCCCUCCCCGGGAUAGCCGCCCGAAAGGACGGGUAAUACCGGAUACCCCGGGGUGCCGCAUGGCACCCCGGCUAAAGCCCGACGGGAGGGGAUGGCUCCGCGGCCCAUCAGGUAGACGGCGGGGUGACGGCCCACCGUGCCGACAACGGGUAGCCGGGUUGAGAGACCGACCGGCCAGAUUGGGACUGAGACACGGCCCAG